rnacentral:rRNA from 1 species
GGUCGAGCGGACAGAAGGGAGCUUGCUCCCGGAUGUUAGCGGCGGACGGGUGAGUAACACGUGGGUAACCUGCCUGUAAGACUGGGAUAACUCCGGGAAACCGGAGCUAAUACCGGAUAGUUCCUUGAACCGCAUGGUUCAAGGAUGAAAGACGGUUUCGGCUGUCACUUACAGAUGGACCCGCGGCGCAUUAGCUAGUUGGUGGGGUAAUGGCUCACCAAGGCGACGAUGCGUAGCCGACCUGAGAGGGUGAUCGGCCACACUGGGACUGAGACACGGCCCAGACUCCUACGGGAGGCAGCAGUAGGGAAUCUUCCGCAAUGGACGAAAGUCUGACGGAGCAACGCCGCGUGAGUGAUGAAGGUUUUCGGAUCGUAAAGCUCUGUUGUUAGGGAAGAACAAGUGCGAGAGUAACUGCUCGCACCUUGACGGUACCUAACCAGAAAGCCACGGCUAACUACGUGCCAGCAGCCGCGGUAAUACGUAGGUGGCAAGCGUUGUCCGGAAUUAUUGGGCGUAAAGGGCUCGCAGGCGGUUUCUUAAGUCUGAUGUGAAAGCCCCCGGCUCAACCGGGGAGGGUCAUUGGAAACUGGGAAACUUGAGUGCAGAAGAGGAGAGUGGAAUUCCACGUGUAGCGGUGAAAUGCGUAGAGAUGUGGAGGAACACCAGUGGCGAAGGCGACUCUCUGGUCUGUAACUGACGCUGAGGAGCGAAAGCGUGGGGAGCGAACAGGAUUAGAUACCCUGGUAGUCCACGCCGUAAACGAUGAGUGCUAAGUGUUAGGGGGUUUCCGCCCCUUAGUGCUGCAGCUAACGCAUUAAGCACUCCGCCUGGGGAGUACGGUCGCAAGACUGAAACUCAAAGGAAUUGACGGGGGCCCGCACAAGCGGUGGAGCAUGUGGUUUAAUUCGAAGCAACGCGAAGAACCUUACCAGGUCUUGACAUCCUCUGACAACCCUAGAGAUAGGGCUUUCCCUUCGGGGACAGAGUGACAGGUGGUGCAUGGGUUGUCGUCAGCUCGUGUCGUGAGAUGUUGGGGUUAAGUCCCGCACGAGCGCACCCUUGAUCUUAGUUGCCAGCAUUUAGUGGGCACUCUUAGGUGACUGCCGGUGACAGCGGAGAGGUGGGGAUG